CCUACGGGAGGCAGCAGUGGGGAAUUUUCCGCAAUGGGCGAAAGCCUGACGGAGCAAUACCGCGUGAGGGAAGAAUGCCUACGGGUUGUAAACCUCUUUUAUCAGGGAGGAACAAAAUGACGUGUACCUGAUGAAUAAGCAUCGGCUAACUCUGUGCCAGCAGCCGCGGUAAGACAGAGGAUGCAAGUGUUAUCCGGAAUUACUGGGCGUAAAGCGUCUGUAGGUUGUUGAACAAGUCAACUGUUAAAUCUUGAAGCUCAACUUCAAAAUCGCAGUCGAAACUGUUUGACUAGAGUAUAGUAGAGGUAAAGGGAAUUUCCAGUGGAGCGGUGAAAUGCGUAGAUAUUGGAAAGAACACCGAUGGCGAAAGCACUUUACUGGGCUAUUACUGACACUCAGAGACGACAGCUAGGGUAGCAAAUGGGAUUAGAUACCCCAGUAGUCCUAGCCGUAAACUAUGGAUACUAGAUGUUGAAACAGAUACGACCUCGUGCAGUAUUAAAGUACUAACGUACGUUAAGUAUCCGUCCGUCGGAGUAGUGCGUCGCGAGAGUAAGUAAACGUUAAAGUUAGUUAAGUUAGUUACGGUUCGUGAGACGUUGCCGACGGACGACGACGAGGGGAGGUUAGGAG
rnacentral:rRNA from 1 species